rnacentral:rRNA from 1 species
AUACGUAGGGUGCGAGCGUUGUCCGGAAUUACUGGGCGUAAAGAGCUCGUAGGUGGUUUGUCGCGUCGUCUGUGAAAUUCCGGGGCUUAACUCUGGGCGUGCAGGCGAUACGGGCAUAACUUGAGUACUGUAGGGGAGACUGGAAUUCCUGGUGUAGCGGUGAAAUGCGCAGAUAUCAGGAGGAACACCGGUGGCGAAGGCGGGUCUCUGGGCAGUAACUGACGCUGAGGAGCGAAAGCAUGGGUAGCGAACAGGAUUAGAUACCCUGGUAGUCCAUGCCGUAAACGGUGGGCGCUAGGUGUAGGGGUCUUCCACGACUUCUGUGCCGUAGCUAACGCAUUAAGCGCCCCGCCUGGGGAGUACGGCCGCAAGGCUAAAACUCAAAUGAAUUGGCGGGG